rnacentral:lncRNA from 1 species
GAAGCAAGCCAGAUAGGAGCACCCCUCCAUAACCUCUGCAUCAGCUCCUGCCUCCAAGAGCCUGCCCUGUUUGAGUUUCUGCUCUGACUUCCUUUGGUGAUAAACAGCAAAGUGGAAGUUGUGAAGGUCCAGAUGUAGAACUCUUCAGCUCCUUCUGAAGCACCAUGUCUGCCUGUGUGCCACCAUGCUUCUCACAUGAUGAUAAUGGACUAAACCUCUGAAACUGCAGGAGUGGAGAAACCCAAUAUCCAUAUAGGAUGUGGGGAGCAGAGAAGACAAAGAAGCAGGAAGUUGGCAAUGCAUCAUCUGCCACACCCUGUGCGCUGCCUGCCUUUCUGCAACAGACACAAGCAAAGAGCUUUGCAAGGCAAGAAGAAAACCACUGGACUGGGCUAUGAACACUCGGCGCUUUUUCUGAACUUGCCUUCAGACGUAUAGACAAUGAAAAUAUCCACAUAGGUUGCAUGUAAUGGCACUGAGGAAGCAGAGGCAGGCAGAUCUCGGUGAGUUCGAGGCAAGCCAGGACUACAUGGUGAGACUUUGUCUCAAUAAAUAAAUGAAUCAAAAAAAUUGAUACCCUCAGAUGAUAACAUGGAACAACUUUACUCCCACUAGGCAGAAGAAAAACUAACAUGUCUAGUUUAUUUGUUUUCUGUUGGUUAAUUUAAACAUGCAAAAUUGUCUUGGGCAGGCAUAUAUGUAUCACAUGGGCUGUCUUGAGAUACAACGUCAUGAUGUGUGAGCAGCCAUCCUUUAACAUGCCAGAGAAGGAUCUUUUUAAAGUGUGGGUCGUGCUACCCACCCUGUGCUACCGUGCUAUGAUGGGGUUCAGGACAUGAUACUGUUAGGAAUGGAAACACCAAUAAAUGUGAGCACACUCAUUGCUAAUAGUGAGUUUGUCUCUUACAAUGGGCUAGGCUUGGUUCUACGUGUUUUACAUGUAUUCAUUCACUUAAUCCUCUAAGCAACCAAUCUUCUGCAUCCUAGAGGUGAGCCAUAUGAGAGGGUGAGAAGUUGACCCAUGAAACAUCAAUUUCAAGUGACUCAUCUUGCUAUUACUGGCUCGACUUGGACAUGAGUCAAUGAAAUGCAGAGAGAUCAAGUGGCUUGUCCAAGGGCACAGAGUUUAUUAAAAGUUAUUAUUUUUGUAAUUAUUUAUAAACAUUCCUAAUUUUGUAGGGUGUUCACGUUAUAAGAAUAAAAAUCCAGUCUGCAUAACUU